GUGUCAGCAGCCGCGGUAACACGUAGGAGACGAGCGUUAUCCGGAUUUACUGGGUGUAAAGCGCGUGCAGGCGGAACGGCAAGUUGGAUGUGAAAGCUCCUGGCUUAACUGGGAGAGGUCGUACAAGACUGCCGAUCUAGAGGACAGCAGAGGGGAGUGGAAUUCCGAGUGUAGCGGUAAAAUGCAUAGAUAUUCGGAAGAACACCAGUGGCGAAAGCGGCUCUCUGGGCUGUAACUGACGCUCAGACGCGAAAGCUAGGGUAGCAAACGGGAUUAGAUACCCCUGUAGUCC
rnacentral:rRNA from 1 species